rfam:Beta vulgaris subsp. vulgaris chromosome 2, whole genome shotgun sequence.
GACACCUGCCCAGUGCCUGAAGGUCAAGGAAGUUGGUGACCUGAUGACAUGGGACGCGGCUACAGAAGCUCGGGUGAACGGCAGCCGUAACUAUAACGGUCCUAAGGUAGCGAAAUUCCUUGUCGGGUAUAUAUAAGGUUGGGG